AGCAGCCGCGGUAAUUCCAGCUCCAAUAGCGUAUAUUAAAGUUGUUGCAGUUAAAAAGCUCGUAGUUGAAUUUCGGGGUUCUACCGUUGGUCGGGCAAUAGUCUGUACUGGCGUGUGGAAUUUCUACCUUCUGGGGAACCAUCAUGUUAUUAAUUUAGCGUGGUGGGAAACCAGGACCUUUACCUUGAAAAAAUUAGAGUGUUCAAAGCAGGCUUACGUCUGAAUACAUUAGCAUGGAAUAAUAAAAUAGGACGGUGGUCCUGUUUUGUUGGUUUCUGAAUCACCGUAAUGAUUAAUAGGGAUAGUUGGGGGCAUUAGUAUUCAAUUGUCAGAGGUGAAAUUCUUGGAUUUAUUGAAGACUAACUUCUGCGAAAGCAUUUGCCAAGGAUGUUUUCAUUAAUCAAGAACGAAAGUUAGGGGAUCGAAGACGAUCAGAUACCGUCGUAGUCU
rnacentral:rRNA from 1 species